rnacentral:misc_RNA from 1 species
GGUAAAGUUGAUAUCUUGGUUGCAAGAAUUGGAACUGGUGGUACAGUAACUGGUGCGGGGAAAUUUCUCAAGGAGAAAAAUCCAGACAUUAAGGCAUUCUUCAUAUUAUAUUUGCUGUGCACGAACAGCCUGCUGUGCACGAACAGCCUGCUGUUUUCCAGCUUUAAUUAUUUUAUGUUAUUGUAUAACUUUCUCUUGUUCAUACCUAGGUUUAUGGUGUAGAACCAGCUGAAAGUGCUGUCUUGAAUGGUGGAAAACCUGGUAAGUCAUGGAUCACUUCAUGGUUGUAUUCUUUGUUCUUUUUUACAUGGUCCCAUAAAUUUUCUAGUUGUGGGGCUUGGGGUCAAAUUUCAUGGUUCAUGUGUUGCAGUUAUUCAUUACUUUAGAGGUUGAUAGGACACUGAAAAGACUUGGAACAUUAAGCAGUAGGAACUCUGAACCAAAAUAUUGACAGUUUUGCUCAACAGCUCAACCAGACUAAUUCAGACAAAAAGAUUUAAGGUAUAUGUAGUUGGAAACUAGGAAUAAUGGAAGACUGAUAGAAGAUUCUAUCAAGGGGAGGAAACCAUCUAGAAAAGUAAUUGAUUUUUCUAACAACUAAAAAAGUCUUGCCAAUAUCUGAUAGGUCCUAAACUCCUGCAUCUAGAGAUUCUGUUUAAGCAAAACAAUCCUUGAAACUUGUAUGUACUAAGAAAUUUAGAGUGAUACUGGAUCUUUUAAAGAUUCUGUAAAGCAAACAUUCCUAAGCAUUGAGCACACUUAUCAUGCAAGUAAUUUGAAGAUUUGCAAUGUGCUUAUGAUUUUAUCUUCUCUGGUAUAUUGGAUACCUUACAUUCUGUGUGUGUCAAAGGUCACCAUCUAAUCGAUGGACUAGGUGCUGGUAUUGUACCUUCCGUUCUGGAUGUUGGCAUUCUUGAUGAAGUUAUUCAGGUAAGUCUAAAACCAUGUCAUUUGCUUUUAUUUAACUCUAAAAUUAUCUGCUUGUGCUUCCAUUCUUUUUAUUGUUUUUCUGAUUGCAACAUGAAGUGAUCUAUGCACUAAGAGGCCUAGCAUGAUCAGAAAUUGUAAAUAAGCUUUUGCAUCUGAGAAGUUUGUGUCUUCACAAGAUACACAAGCAAAUUAUGGGUCCUAAACUCCUAAUGCAGACAUUGAGGGUCUGAUGCAACAAGUUUAAGUGUGUCAUUAGUUUAUGGCUUUCUUUAGAACAUUUCUCUUAACUUUCGUACUGCUGCUGUUACAAUUUAGGUACCAAGUGAGGAAGCUAUUGAAACUG